GGCCAGUUAGCUCAGUCAGUUGAUUAUGGUGCUGACAACGCCAAGGUUGCGGGUUCGAUUCCCGUUCGGUCCU
rnacentral:tRNA from 1 species